UACGUAGGGUGCGAGCGUUAAUCGGAAUUACUGGGCGUAAAGCGUGCGCAGGCGGUUGGUUAAGUCUGAUGUGAAAGCCCCGGGCUCAACCUGGGAAUGGCAUUGGAAACUGGCCAGCUAGAGUGUGGCAGAGGGGGGUGGAAUUCCGCGUGUAGCAGUGAAAUGCGUAGAGAUGUGGAGGAACACCGAUGGCGAAGGCAGCCUCCUGGGCCAAUACUGACGCUCAUGCACGAAAGCGUGGGGAGCAAACAGG
rnacentral:rRNA from 1 species